rnacentral:rRNA from 1 species
CAGUAGCCGCGGUAAUACGAAGGGUGCAAGCGUUACUCGGAAUUACUGGGCGUAAAGCGUGCGUAGGCGGCUUUUUAAGUCGGAUGUGAAAUCCCUGAGCUUAACUUAGGAAUUGCAUUCGAUACUGGGAAGCUAGAGUAUGGGAGAGGAUGGUAGAAUUCCAGGUGUAGCGGUGAAAUGCGUAGAGAUCUGGAGGAAUACCGAUGGCGAAGGCAGCCAUCUGGCCUAAUACUGACGCUGAGGUACGAAAGCAUGGGGAGCAAACAGGAUUAGAUACCCGAGUAGUCCCUGUCUCUUAUAC